AAUUAAGAGCGCAUGGGGAAUGCCUAGGCUCUCAGAGGCGAUGAAGGACGUGAUAAGCUGCGAUAAGCUGCGGGGAUUGGCACAUACGAAUUGAUCCGCAGAUGUCCGAAUGGGGCAACCCAGUACAUUGAAGAUGUAUUAUCCGCAAGGAGGCGAACCCGGGGAACUGAAACAUCUAAGUACCCGGAGGAAAGGACAUCAACCGAGACUCCGCUAGUAGUGGCGAGCGAACGCGGACCAGGCCAGUGGCUAUAGAGUAAGAACCGGAACCGUCUGGAAAGUCGGGCCUCAGCGGGUGAUAGCCCCGUACGGGUAGAAGAACGAUUGGGCCUCGAGUAGGGCGGGACACGUGAAAUCCUGUCUGAACAUGGGGGGACCACCCUCCAAGCCUAAGUACUCCUUGUCGACCGAUAGCGAACAAGUACCGUGAGGGAAAGGUGAAAA
rnacentral:rRNA from 14 species